rnacentral:rRNA from 1 species
ACGGAAGGCAGCAGUGGGGAAUAUUGGGCAAUGGGCGAAAGCCUGACCCAGCGACGCCGCGUGAAGGAAGAAGAUCUUCGGAUUGUAAACUUUAGUCAACAGGGACGAAGAAAGUGACGGUACCUGUGGAGGAAGCCGCGGCUAACUACGUGCCAGCAGCCGCGGUAAUACGUAGGUGGCGAGCGAUAUCCGGAUUUACUGGGUGUAAAGGGUGUGUAGGCGGGCCUGCAAGUCAGAUGUGAAAACUAUGGGCUUAACCCAUAGCCUGCAUUGGAAACUGUGGGUCUUGAGAGUGGGAGAGGUAAAUGGAAUUCCCGGUGUAGCAGUGAAAUGCGUAGAUAUCGGGAGGAACACCAGUGGCGAAGGCGAUUUACUGGACCACAACUGACGCUGAGACACGAAAGCGUGGGGAGCAAACAGGAUUAGAUACCCUGGUA